rnacentral:rRNA from 1 species
UGGGGAAUUUUGGACAAUGGGCGAAAGCCUGAUCCAGCAAUGCCGCGUGUGUGAAGAAGGCCUUCGGGUUGUAAAGCACUUUUGUCCGGAAAGAAAUCCUUGGCUCUAAUACAGUCGGGGGAUGACGGUACCGGAAGAAUAAGCACCGGCUAACUACGUGCCAGCAGCCGCGGUAAUACGUAGGGUGCAAGCGUUAAUCGGAAUUACUGGGCGUAAAGCGUGCGCAGGCGGUUUGCUAAGACCGAUGUGAAAUCCCCGGGCUCAACCUGGGAACUGCAUUGGUGACUGGCAGGCUAGAGUAUGGCAGAGGGGGGUAGAAUUCCACGUGUAGCAGUGAAAUGCGUAGAGAUGUGGAGGAAUACCGAUGGCGAAGGCAGCCCCCUGGGCCAAUACUGACGCUCAUGCACGAAAGGCGUGGGGGAGCAAACAGGAUUAGAUACCCUGGUAGUCCACGCCCUAAACGAUGUCAACUAGUUGUUGGGGAUUCAUUUCCUUAGUAACGUAGCUAACGCGUGAAGUUGACCGCCUGGGGAGUACGGUCGCAAGAUUAAAACUCAAUGAAUUGACGGGGUCAUAGCUGUUUCCU